CCCAGAUUUUUAGGGAACAGUUGUCAUUUGAAGCUCGGUGCAGGUGCACUCCAUUUCCAAACACGACAGAAGUAAAGGGAUAUCUGAAAUAGCUGCAUAAAUAAGAACUGGACAGCAACCAUGCUGAUCUGAUUAAUAUUGAGCGGGCUUUCCUUUUUGGCGGAUAAGCUGUCUGGAUGCUUUAAAACAUCAAGACAACGAGUUACAAACACAGGAUGAUCCAGCAACCGGCAGCAAGUAUGGUCAGCAACCAGAGGUCCUCCACCAAACCAGUUCCCAUCAGUCAAUAUGAUGCCUUUAUAAUAUGCCAUGUGAAAUAGGCAUAUGUAAAACCACUAAUCCACAAAUACGUGGCUUGUUGGCCACGUGAUGUGAGCUUCUCUCUGUGCUGAAAAUUAUGAUGACUUGCCUUUAAACUCUCAAAUUAGGAGGUGGGCAUUUCUGAUGGUUCAUUCAGUACAGACAGGAGUACACAAGCAGAGUGCUACCCAAGUGAAUGGAUUCAUUAAAGGGCCUAUAUCCUACAUUUAGCCUACAACGUUUAUGUGGUUACAUGUACCAAAAACAAUUGUAUUUCAUUUUCAUAAACCUUUAUCCCUCGGAAUUAAGCUGUGUUUGUUACUGUGCCUUUAAGACUGAUGCAUGCGAAUAACCUCUGUUCUGCCCUGUAUUAUAACUUUAAUGUCACUGGGUGAGGCUAAAGUGCUGUCACACAAUGCCCUCCACAAAGACUGGCACCCCUAGUAUUCAUGAGCAAAGUGAAUAUGUAUGAACAGAAUUAAAUAAUUAUUCUUAAUUACUUAUUCUUUUUUUUAAUCUUUCUUUCAAAAUAUUAGCAGCAAUCUAACCUUUAUGAAAAGCAUAAUGAUGGAAAGAAAAGACAAUCUCAUCAUAAAGAAAUAUUUUUCUUAAAUAUGUGUGCCACAGCUGUUGGCACCCUUAGAAAUUCUGAAGUAUAUUCAAAUUCAUGUUAUUAUUUUAUGUUUUAAGUUCACAUGAGUGAUUAGAAACAGUUAAAUGGUCAAUAAUGAUUCAGGGGGAAAACAUAAAAGAUGAAACACAGACAUCCCUCAGUCAUCCAUUACUAUGAGAAAGACCAGAGAAAACAGCAAUUAUCUGUGACAAAAGGUUCUUGAGCUGCACAAAUCAGGAAAGGGCCACGAGAAAAUAGCUAAACAGUUGAAAAGGCUCCUGAAAGUACACCUGAAAAUCAAAAGAUGGUUCACUGACAACGGAAUUAAGAUUUUGCCAUGACCACCCCUUUUCCCUAACCUAAACCCUAUAGAAAAGUCCACAGUGUGGACUUCUGUCUGAAGGAAUGAUCUUGGAACCUUUGCUGUGUGUUUUCUAGUCUCAUUGAGUGUUUCAGGGCAUUCAGAGUGGUUAUCAUUACAAAGGGAGGUUGUAUAGAGUAUUAAAUGAGGUGCCAAUAAUUGUGGCA